rnacentral:rRNA from 1 species
UGGGGAAUUUUGGACAAUGGGCGAAAGCCUGAUCCAGCAAUGCCGCGUGUGUGAAGAAGGCCUUCGGGUUGUAAAGCACUUUUGUCCGGAAAGAAAUCCUUGGCUCUAAUACAGUCGGGGGAUGACGGUACCGGAAGAAUAAGCACCGGCUAACUACGUGCCAGCAGCCGCGGUAAUACGUAGGGUGCAAGCGUUAAUCGGAAUUACUGGGCGUAAAGCGUGCGCAGGCGGUUUGCUAAGACCGAUGUGAAAUCCCCGGGCUCAACCUGGGAACUGCAUUGGUGACUGGCAGGCUAGAGUAUGGCAGAGGGGGGUAGAAUUCCACGUGUAGCAGUGAAAUGCGUAGAGAUGUGGAGGAAUACCGAUGGCGAAGGCAGCCCCCUGGGCCAAUACUGACGCUCAUGCACGAAAGCGUGGGGAGCAAACAGGAUUAGUACCCUGGUAGUCCACGCCCUAAACGAUGUCAACUAGUUGUUGGGGAUUCAUUUCCUUAGUAACGUAG